rnacentral:rRNA from 1 species
CCUACGGGAGGCUGCAGUGAGGAAUAUUGGUCAAUGGGCGAGAGCCUGAACCAGCCAAGCCGCGUGAGGGAGUACUGCCCUAUGGGUUGUAAACCUCUUUUGUCGGGGAGCAAAAGCCGGACGUGUCCGGCUGUGAGAGUACCCGAAGAAAAAGCAUCGGCUAACUCCGUGCCAGCAGCCGCGGUAAUACGGGGGAUGCGAGCGUUAUCCGGAUUUAUUGGGUUUAAAGGGUGCGCAGGCGGAUUUUUAAGUCAGCGGUAAAAUCGUGGGGCUCAACCCCAUCCAGCCGUUGAAACUGGGGAUCUAGAGUGUGCGAGAGGUAUGCGGAAUGCGUGGUGUAGCGGUGAAAUGCAUAGAUAUCACGCAGAACCCCGAUUGCGAAGGCAGCAUACCGGUGCACAACUGACGCUCAGGCACGAAAGCGUGGGUAUCGAACAGGAUUAGAUACCCUUGUAGUC